GUGCGUAUUUAGGCAAAAAUAUCGACAAUGGCUGCAGUGUGAGCAAUAUCGUUCGUUCGCGGUGGUAUUUUUCGGAGUUGUAUAACUUUUAAAUUUCCCGUGAAUAUCGUGCCCGAAUUAAAUUGUGCUGAUCGUGGCUUAUCGUGGCAGGGUGGCGUCAAGCCGUGGAAGCUGUUAUUGUGAAAAACUCAGAAGACUGGAACCUUUUCUGCGUUGAAUCAGUGAAUCGAGAAAAAGUAUUUUUCAAGAUUAGCGAUUUUUCAUCUCGCAAGCUAAAAUCUCAUCCCCAAUCCAAAAUCACAAAAGAUUGCUCUCUUUCCCCCUGUCGAUAUUUCGGUCUAUCCGCUGUUGGGACGCUCUUCUCGCGUUUGCAGAUUUCGAGUGAGGAUGGUUUGAUACAACUGGAUUGGUGUGAGUGAAAGCGAUCAAGCAGUGUUUUUUUUUUUGUUUUGACUUUUGAUGUUGCGGAUUUAUUGGUCUGGAAACAUAGAAAAAGGUAGUGAUUGCUACUAAAUUAAGGAAUGGGACUCUUAAUCACGGAAAUCUCAUCCAAACUCUUAACAAGUGAUUUAUUCUCUGUGUCUGUGAUUGGUGAUAAGCCCAUCGUCCUGCAGCAAGCAGCGUGAAGUGCGAGAAAAUUCCAAAUUUUCCUAAUCACGCGUGAGAAGUAAACCCCAUUCCAGCAGACCAGGACCAGGAUUCUCACCUUUCAUACAGAGUAUCAAGCGGCACGGAGCAAAAGUGUGGAACAUGUGAGAUAAUGUGUCCUCUAUCCCGUGAGGAAACAGCAGCAUCGCAGCAAAGGUAGUAAUCAUCACAGCCAAGUGCACCAUCAGAGCACCACGGACGGUGACACAUCGCGCUGGGAAAGAGGGAAAAGUUGGAAGGAAACAACUACGACGCCCUGUAUACGGUCGCACUGGUCUCGUGAGUGAGCGUGAAUGGAAAAUUGUGUUGUGUAAGUCCUGCCUGCUGGCUUCUUUCUGCGACGUCUAACUCUGUUCGGAAAAACCGUGCCAUUCAUUGGUACUCGGUCGGACAUUGGCAGCUUGGGAAUUCUCGUUGAAAAUCUUGUGACGGAUUCAUCCUUCUGGUGGUUGGAUUGGAUUGCGGUCAUUAUUGUGUAAGCGAAAAGAAAGCACACUGCAGUUUAGGUGACGAUUUUUCCUUAUUUCUCUUCAAACUGCUAGUGCAAGUGUGUCUUUGCUCCGAAAGUGGAAGCUAGAAAGUGGACCGUCUAUUUUUAAAAGCAGGAAAGACACAUCAUCGGGUAGCCAUCCAAAAUCAGCAGGAAAAGUCUCACGAAAAUAGGUGUACUGCAGUGGUAUGUGCUAUGAUGAUAGCGGCAGUCUAGGAGGGCCCCUUCGAAAGAAAAAAACGGGAAAUUCAGUGAAGGAAAGUUGUGGGUGCUGUUAGUGUGUGAGUUUAUUUCUUCGAUAUCCUUUCGAUUCCUCGAAACAGAAUAUAUUUUUUCGGGGUAUCCAAAAGUGGAGUAGCACAAAACCAAACCGGACUUUCUUCCUUGGAAUGGUUUCUCUGUCUUCAUUUUCUGUCGCGACUCGAUGAGGCAAGCAGGUGAAAAACAUCAUAAAAAAUCGAUGUUUCAUUGCCAGUGAGAGAAGGCAGCGAUGUUGGCGUGAUCAAUCACAUAAAACAUAUUGUGAAAUCGAGCAAAUGCAAUCAUUCAAAUUAUUCGUGAAUUUCGAUAAGAAAUCCAGUUAAAAAGUGUAGUGAACUGGUAAGCGUCCAAAGUUAUUAUCUUACUAGGUUUUCCCCAAAACACUUUCGGGAAUCCGUCAAAAGUGUGCUGUUACAUAAGCGCGGGGGUAAAGUUUCUCUCCGAAGCCGAGUGCAGCCCCGCAGCAAAUAGUAGUGUUGUUCUAAAAUCUGCUUCGGGGGCACAGCUUCAGUUUGCUGUCCCCAUUUGAAGGGUGAAAAGGAGCAGUCCAUUUUUCAUUCGAGUGACCCGGAGAACUAGAAAAGGCCGUCAAACUGGAGCGACUUCCAGAAUACCUGCGCGACACCGUGGACUGGUUUAUGGGUACAGGUGCCCUAGUUGUUCAGGCAAGUGUUAACCCAAAGGCAGUUGGAAAUUGGUCCCCGGAAUCCGAGGCGCCACCGCUCCAGGUGCUGGUGCCCAUGGACAACAACGACUCCGCGCUGCUUCCAGUGGAUUAUGAACAGACUGUCGACUGGUAAUCGAUUUGCCAGAAUGUGGACCACCGCGGUGCUGAAUGCAAUUACCAAUCGAGCCAAUUCGGCCUCCAAAAAUCUUUCGGUGCGGUACUCUUCAAUUCCGAGCAAUGAUGGGGCGGCUCCUUCCUCGGCUUCGGCCAGCAACCUCAGCAAGAUUGUAGGCGGUUCCGGUAUGAUACUACCGUUGGAUGUCGAGGAAACGGUUACGUGCUU